rnacentral:rRNA from 1 species
UGCCUUACACAUCCCAAGUCGAACGGUAACAGGUCUUCGGAUGCUGACGAGUGGCGAACGGGUGAGUAAUGCAUCGGAACGUGCCCAGUUGUGGGGGAUAACUGCUCGAAAGAGCAGCUAAUACCGCAUACGACCUGAGGGUGAAAGCGGGGGAUCGCAAGACCUCGCGCAAUUGGAGCGGCCGAUGUCAGAUUAGGUAGUUGGUGGGGUAAAGGCCUACCAAGCCGACGAUCUGUAGUUGGUCUGAGAGGACGACCAGCCACACUGGGACUGAGACACGGCCCAGACUCCUACGGGAGGCAGCAGUGGGGAAUUUUGGACAAUGGGCGCAAGCCUGAUCCAGCAAUGCCGCGUGCAGGAAGAAGGCCUUCGGGUUGUAAACUGC